GUUUCAAUCGAAUCAUUCGAAAUUGAUGUUGUUGAAGUGUUUUACCAUUCUACUGAUUGAAUCCAACCCCAAAAUCCUUUGAAAUCAUUCUAUCGAACACCACCCACACAAAUCAAAACAUUUAAAAAUUUGAAAUAACUUACUUGAUAAGACAAUCGCUACAUUGGAAUGGAGUUUCACCUGUAUGACGGCGCAUAUGUUCUUUGA